rnacentral:rRNA from 1 species
GACGAACGCUGGCGGCGUGCCUAAUACAUGCAAGUCGAACGAGAGCGACCGGUGCUUGCACUGGUCAAUCUAGUGGCGAACGGGUGAGUAACACGUGGGUAACCUGCCCAUCAGAGGGGGAUAACAUCCGGAAACGGAUGCUAAAACCGCAUAGGUCUUCGAACCGCAUGGUUUGAAGAGGAAAAGGGGCGCAAGCUUCUGCUGAUGGAUGGACCCGCGGUGCAUUAGCUAGUUGGUGAGGUAACGGCUCACCAAGGCCGUGAUGCAUAGCCGACCUGAGAGGGUGAUCGGCCACAUUGGGACUGAGACACGGCCCAAACUCCUACGGGAGGCAGCAGUAGGGAAUCUUCCGCAAAGGACGCAAGUCUGACGGAGCAACGCCGCGUGAGUGAAGAAGGUUUUCGGAUCGUAAAACUCUGUUGUUAGAGAAGAACAAGUGCUAGAGUAACUGUUAGCGCCUUGACGGUAUCUAACCAGAAAGCCACGGCUAACUACGUG